GGAGUCACGCCAGAAAUCUUACCCGGAGAGACAGCAGAAUGAAGGUCAAGCUGAAGACUUUACCAGACAAGCUGAGAGGUGGUGCAUGGCCGUCGCCAGCUCGUGCCGUGAGAUGUCCUGUUAAGUCAGGUAACGAGCGAGAUCCUCGCCACUAGUUGCUAUCAUUAUUCUCAGGAAUAGUGGGGCGAAUUAGUGGGACUGCCGUUGUUAAAACGGAGGAAGGAGGGGGCUACGGCAGGUCAGUAUGCCCCGAGACUCUGGGGCCACACGCGGGCUGCAAUGGUAGCGACAAUGAGCUCCAAACUCGAAAGAGAGUGGCAAUCUCUAAACGCUACCACAGUUAUGACUGAGGGCUGUAACUCGCCCUCACGAAUAUGGAAUCCCUAGUAACCGCGUGUCAUUACCGCGCGGUGAAUACGUCCCUGCUCCUUGCACACACCGCCCGUCGUUUCAUCGAAGUUUGCUUUUAGCGAGGUGAUGUUUAAUUGACAUUGUCGAACUUGAGGUAAGUGACGAGGGAAAAGUCGUAACAAGGUGACCGUAGGGGAACCUGCGGUCGGAUCA
rnacentral:rRNA from 1 species